CGCGCAGUAUCUACCUAUCAUUACAACGUCUUUACUUUUUUCCCUCUCUUCUGCAUUAGGUGGCAUUCACUCAAACCCCAUCUGGUCAAGGAAGAAACAGCAAACUUAGGGCACGCACAGCGUGUUCUCCUUAAUGCUGCUCUCUCCACACUUUUAUGUCAGAUCACUUCCGUGCCAGGGUCUGUCAGCUCAGUACUCAUUAUCCACAUAAGGGAGAGACGGUGCAUUCUCUAUUCUCAAGAUCAUCUUCAUGAAAAUAUCCAUGGGAUGACUGCUAAAGAAACAAGAAGAACAGAGAGAAAAGACAGCGGAAUGUAUAGGACAGGAGCAACCUUCAUGUACCAAUGGGCAGCGGCUGUUGGUGCCUAUCCAAUUCUUUGCAUGUAUCAUAUAUGAAAUUGCUGUUAACAUAUAGGCAGGUGAGAUUUCUGCUUAUGUCCACUUUUUUGCAUGCCAUCUCACUGAAUUCUGGCCAGCUUUCCAAUUCAUCAGGACCAUUCUGAAUCUUAAUUCUGGCUUUGUGAAUGCUGUUACACUUCAUAGCUCAACGUGCACUGCAAUUUAUACACGAGUACAGUCAUACAUGAUUUAAGUUAAUGAAAGAACUGACAGAACUCUGUCUGAAAGACCUUCCUACCUUUAGAGCUGAGUAUUAAAUUUCUUAGGAAGGUAUAUUUGCAGACAGCUUGGUAAUAGUGUUGAUUAGUGCUAGUACAUAUUUCCUCAGCUUGCUCAUAUGACUUUUAUUUAGCUUUACCAGGGCAAAUAUAGAUGCCCCCUUCUGCUUCACAUAUCUACUAGGCAAUUAUUCUGCCAAAGAACAUAUUGAGUUGUUUUUUUAACUUUUCCUCCAGGUGCUCUGGAGAAAAGCACUUUAACAAAAUCAAACUGUAUUUUAUUUCCAAAGUUUUCUAUCUAAUUUCUGCACCAUGGCUGCAGCCAAGGCUUGAGGAUUUUAUUAUUGUGCCAGUGUGAUUGUAGGUAUGAACAAGACAAUUUUUCGAAGCAAGUAUAAUCAGCCACAGAAUAAGUUUAAUGCAGACUUCAUUCAAGUUGGUCUUCUGGGAAUUAAUUUAUAUUUUGUACAUUUGAGUGUCUUGCUUGAACAGGUAUUUUUGUUACGAUCUUUAAUACAGUAAUUUGAUGAGAUCAUAAGGAUUUACUCUGGAAUUAUAUUUUUGCAUAUAGGUGAGGUAUCAUUCUACAAGCCUAAAAUUUCUCCUCCAUAAUUUUUCAUGCAGGAGAGCUAAAAAUAAUGUGAAUUCACACAGCAAUGGGGUCUCUGGGUCUCUUCACUCUCCGCCUUUUGACUGCUAAUAAAAAAAUUUCAGUGGAAAAUCUGUGAAGAAAG
rnacentral:lncRNA from 1 species